rnacentral:rRNA from 1 species
UACGUAGGGGGCGAGCGUUGUCUGGAGUUACUGGGCGUAAGGGGCAUGCAGGCGGUCGGACGCGUUUCGGGUGACAGCGGGUGGCUUAACUACCCGAGUGGUCGAAAGACGGUUUGACUUGAGGACGCGAGAGGGACACGGAAUUCCGGGUGGAGUGGUGAAAUGCGUAGAGAUCCGGAGGAACACCGAAGGCGAAGGCAGUGUCCUGGCGCGUAACUGACGCUGAGGUGCGAAAGCCAGGGGAGCGAACGGG